GCGGGGGUUGUAGAGCCUGGCCAAAUAACUAAGAUUUGGAAACGCAGGACUUAAGAUCUUAUAAAUUGGGGAUCCUGUCCUUCAGGGGUUCGUGGGUUCAAAUCCCACCUCCCGCA
rnacentral:tRNA from 1 species